rnacentral:rRNA from 1 species
AGCGAACGCUGGCGGCAGGCCUAACACAUGCAAGUCGAACGAAGCCUUCGGGCUUAGUGGCGGACGGGUGAGUAACACGUGGGAACGUACCUUUUGGUUCGGAAUAACGCAGAGAAAUUUGCGCUAAUACCGAAUGAGCCCUUCGGGGGAAAGAUUUAUCGCCGAAAGAUCGGCCCGCGUUGGAUUAGGUAGUUGGUGUGGUAAAGGCGCACCAAGCCUACGAUCCAUAGCUGGUCUGAGAGGAUGAUCAGCCACACUGGGACUGAGACACGGCCCAGACUCCUACGGGAGGCAGCAGUGGGGAAUCUUGCGCAAUGGGCGAAAGCCUGACGCAGCCAUGCCGCGUGAAUGAUGAAGGUCUUAGGAUUGUAAAAUUCUUUUACCAGGGACGAUAAUGACGGUACCUGGAGAAAAAGCCCCGGCUAACUUCGUGCCAGCCGCCGCAGUAA